CCUACGGGAGGCAGCAGUGGGGAAUAUUGCACAAUGGGCGCAAGCCUGAUGCAGCCAUGCCGCGUGUGUGAAGAAGGCCUUCGGGUUGUAAAGCACUUUCAGCGGGGAGGAAGGCGGUGAGGUUAAUAACCUCAUCGAUUGACGUUACCCGCAGAAGAAGCACCGGCUAACUCCGUGCCAGCAGCCGCGGUAAUACGGAGGGUGCAAGCGUUAAUCGGAAUUACUGGGCGUAAAGCGCACGCAGGCGGUCUGUCAAGUCGGAUGUGAAAUCCCCGGGCUCAACCUGGGAACUGCUUUCGAAACUGGCAGGCUAGAGUCUUGUAGAGGGGGGUAGAAUUCCAGGUGUAGCGGUGAAAUGCGUAGAGAUCUGGAGGAAUACCGGUGGCGAAGGCGGCCCCCUGGACAAAGACUGACGCUCAGGUGCGAAAGCGUGGGGAGCAAACAGGAUUAGAUACCCCGGUAGUC
rnacentral:rRNA from 1 species